rnacentral:sRNA from 1 species
UCUCAAUAUAUAAAUAAACAAAGCCAUCGUCCAACAACCCUAGCCGGCUCAUCUGUGCAAGCACUUUCUCUUCGGGAUGGCGAAGUCUAAGAAUCACACAGCUCAUAACCAGUCCUACAAGGCCCACAAAAAUGGCAUCAAGAAGCCCAAGAGGCAUCGCCACACUUCCACCAAAGGGGUAAAUUUUUCAUUUUUUUAAAAUUUGUAGGUUCUCUUCUAUCAUGCGAAUAUGUAUGUUUUUUGGGGUUAUUAAAUUGUGUGUGUAUGUGUUUUGUUUUUUAACUGUAUGCAUUUUUAUUGUUGGCAAUUGGUGCAGAUGGACCCCAAGUUUCUGAGGAAUCAGAGGUACGCUAGGAAGCACAACAAGAAGGAUGGAGAAACUGCUUCCGAGGAAGAGUAAAGUGGCAGCACUUUCUAACGGAAUCUUUAGGGUUUUUAAACUUUUUUUUUCUUUAAACGGUAAACUUUGUUCGGAAUUGUUUGGAAUCAAUUUUCAGUAGUAUAAUUACUUUGUUCAGAGAAUGCAUUACUCUUCUAAUUUUGUUUUCCUGGUUUCUGUUGAAGAAGACCCUUGAUUUUAUUUUAUUUAUCAAAUGGAAUGAAUGUUAUCUUUUUAAUCAUUGCUGUGGGUGAGAAUUGAAUAUUUGUUAUCUUAAUUGUGGAAAGGAAAGGGGGAUUGGUUUUGCUUUUAAUGGUUAGCUUAGCACUACGUCGCCGUGCUUUUGGAUGUAGUUUCAAUUGGGAAGAGAGAAAAAUCGAAAGGGUUUAGGAGACAUGGCUGGCUGAUUUUAGGGUGUGUUUGGAAACCAUUUUGUUCGAAGUUGAAAAGAAGUUUUACACUUUACAAUGCAUAAACCGAGAAACAAGAUGAGUUGAAUUGGUGUUGAACGUGGAUUAUUUGAAUUUUUUUUAUCAAUGGAAUGAAUGUUAAGGUCUUUGUGUCUUUUAGUCAUUG